UACGGAGGGUGCAAGCGUUAUCCGGAUUCACUGGGUUUAAAGGGUGCGUAGGCGGGCAGGUAAGUCAGUGGUGAAAUCUCCGAGCUUAACUCGGAAACUGCCAUUGAUACUAUUUGUCUUGAAUAUUGUGGAGGUAAGCGGAAUAUGUCAUGUAGCGGUGAAAUGCUUAGAUAUGACAUAGAACACCAAUUGCGAAGGCAGCUUACUACACAAUGAUUGACGCUGAGGCACGAAAGCGUGGGGAUCAAGCAGG
rnacentral:rRNA from 1 species